rnacentral:rRNA from 1 species
AGAGUUUGAUCAUGGCUCAGAUUGAACGCUGGCGGAAUGCUUUACACAUGCAAGUCGAACGGCAGCACGGGUGCUUGCACCUGGUGGCGAGUGGCGAACGGGUGAGUAAUAUAUCGGAACGUAUCCAAUAAUGGGGGAUAACUAACCGAAAGGUUGGCUAAUACCGCAUACGCCCUACGGGGGAAAGCAGGGGAUCUUCGGACCUUGCGUUGAUGGAGCGGCCGAUAUCUGAUUAGCUAGUUGGUGGGGUAAAGGCCCACCAAGGCGACGAUCAGUAGCUGGUCUGAGAGGACGACCAGCCACACUGGAACUGAGACACGGUCCAGACUCCUACGGGAGGCAGCAGUGGGGAAUUUUGGACAAUGGGCGCAAGCCUGAUCCAGCCAUUCCGCGUGAGUGAAGAAGGCCUUCGGGUUGUAAAGCUCUUUCGCAGGGGAAGAAAACUUACAUUCUAAUAAAGUGUGAGGCUGACGGUACCUUGAUAAGAAGCACCGGCUAACUACGUGCCAGCAGCCGCGGUAAUAC